AUCUACAUCAAGUUUACCCUAAUUAAUAAUAAUAAUAAAAAGGCGUAUUCCGCACGAUGGAUGGGGCCACUAUUUUUGGCGAUGAGAAGUUGGAAAGAUGAGAUAUAAAUGGGAAUUUAAUGUGCAAUUGUAUGCAACGGAUAAUCAUUGUUUACAAAAACCGAUUUGAGCAGAGUUUUGGUCGUACGUCAUGUUCAAUAUAUUUACAAUUUCCCUCAAAAUAUUUUCCAGAAAAAAUUCGUUGUAAAACCAAUACAUUCCUCAUUCCGCUCAGAGUCUAAAAGUGCAUUUGUUUAACAAACAAUUUAAAAUCUAAUCAUCCUAAAAUGUCUCUUCCGUGUUUCAAUAAAAUAAUAUAACAUACAAUUUAUUGUAAAUUAAACUUUGAUUGGAUAAUAUAGUUCACGACUCUACGUAGAUAUUCUAUAAAAUAAUUAAUCACUUUACAUAACGCUUAGUCAAUAUAAGAAUAGAAUUUUAAAAUAUGUUAUUAUGUGUAUUGCCAAACGGCAUUAUUCUUAAUGUUCAGGCCUAAUGAAUAAUACUUGGAUAAUAAUACUGGGAUUGUCGAUACUAUAUACAGGGUGAUCAACAUAACGUAAGACACUCAUU